AUUAACGCUGGCGGUGUACCUAAUCUAUGCAAGUCUUCCCUGCUGAGCAAUCAGCGGAGAGGCAGACGAGUGAGUAACACGUAGGUAUCUGCCCUCGACUCGGCCAUAACCCUUCGAAAGAGGGGAUAAUAGCCGAUGGUCUCUCGCGGUAGUACGCGAAGAGUAAAGUAUAUCGGUCGAGGAUGAACCUGCGUCCUAUCAGCUAGUUGGUGUGGUAAUGGCCUACCAAGGCAAUGACGGGUAGGGGGCGUGAGAGCGUGACCCCCCACGAUGGCACUGAGACACGGGCCAUACACCUACGGGUGGCAGCAAGUAGGAAUAUUGCGCAAUGGUCUAAUAGGCUGACGCAGCGACACCGCGUGCGGGAAGAAGGUUUUCGGAUCGUAAACCGACAUUAAAAAGGGGUGGCUAACUUCGU
rnacentral:rRNA from 1 species